UACGUAGGGUGCGAGCGUUGUCCGGAAUUAUUGGGCGUAAAGAGCUCGUAGGCGGUCUGUCGCGUCGAUCGUGAAACUUGGGGCUUAACCCUGAGCUUGCGGUCGAUACGGGCAUGACUGGAGUUCGGCAGGGGAGACUGGAAUUCCUGGUGUAGCGGUGAAAUGCGCAGAUAUCAGGAGGAACACCGGUGGCGAAGGCGGGACUCUGGGCCGAUACUGACGCUGAGGAGCGAAAGCGUGGGGAGCAAACAGG
rnacentral:rRNA from 1 species